UGUCGAAUCGUAUAAUAGGCUAUUACCGUAGAUUGCAAAUCUACAGAUACCGGUUCGAGUCCGGUUUCGCCCU
rnacentral:tRNA from 1 species